AACACGUAAUCACAACAGGGUGUCGCAGGGGUCGGGUGUGAGCCUGGUCCUUGUGAUGCUUUGCUGGCAUGCAUGCAUGGUGCUUCUUGCGAGGCACUGUGUGUGUUGUGUUGGCACCAAAACAAACCCCCGGCACGGCAUKUGCCAAGGAAAACAAAACAUAAGAAGGGUGCGUCCCGUGCUGCCCCGUUURCGGUGUGCGCAUGGGUCGUGUCUUCUCAUUAACCAU
rnacentral:misc_RNA from 1 species